rnacentral:rRNA from 1 species
GACGAACGCUGGCGGCGUGCCUAAUACAUGCAAGUCGAACGCAGUGGGGCCGGGUGAGUAACACGUGGGUAACCUCCCAUCAGAGGGGAUAACACUUGGAAACAGGUGCUAAACCGAUACUGAUGGAUGGACCCGCGGUGCAUUAGCUAGUUGGUGAGGUAACGGCUCACCAAGGCCACGAUGCAUAGCCGGGCUGGGAGGGUGGUCGGCCACAAUGGGACUGAGAAACGGGCCAAAAUCCUACGGGAGGCAGCAGUAGGGAAACUUCGGCAAUGGACGGAAGUCUGACCGAGCAACGCCGCGUGAGUGAAGAAGGUUUUCGGAUCGUAAAGCUCUGUUGUUAGGGAAGCGGUAACUAACCAGAAAGGGACGGCUAACUACGUGCCAGCCGCCGCGGUAAUAC